UAAGUUACAGAAUUGGCCUGUUCGAAAAGAUGUGGCAGACAAAGUAGAAGUGAAAAAAGGAUUUAAAAUGAAAGAGAUCUUGUACUGAGAAAAAGUCAUUAACAUACGUGACACUGUUAAUCGCCAUGUAGAAAACAGUUUAAUUAGCGCUAGACUCUCUCCUUGAAACAAAGAAUAAACAAUUCUAACACAAUGACAACAUCAUUGAAGCGAGAUACGUACUACAUAAAGUUUACAGUUUCCUCCGCUUCUAUCACUCCUCACUCCUUUGCUUCGUCACUGCACAUGCUAAAAUCAUAUUUUGGAGCAAUGGGCUAGAAAGGUAGAAAGUUCAGACAUUUAACCAAGUCUCUUCAGUCUUUUAUGGAUCAACAUGUAACAUCACCAUCAAUAGGAGAAGCAAAAAAAACCAAUAUUAGUAAAAUCUUUGAAACACAACUAAGUAUGAAACUAAAGAUUACUAAGGCAAACUGCAAAUGUCAGUAAACUUAAAUCCUUAAUAAUAAAAGUAUUGAUGUGUGACUUACUGACUUCAUUGUACCUGAAUCUGAAUGGCAUCAGAUGGAUGAUAUUAAAUAUCAGUUGCAGUAUUGAUCAACUGAAUGGGUUGAGUCGUCAUUAUCGAUCCACUAAUGCAUUACCUUGUUACAUGUGACUAAUCCUUCAACAAUAUUUAAACAAAAAAGUUCAGACAACCAUCUUCUAAUUAGGCAUCUAGCUUACCUCCUUCCUUCCUAACAGUUGCCCUUUUCUUUUAUAAUUACUAAUCAAUUUCGUCAACACACAAUAUAAUGCAAGCAUGAAAAGCACAUCUCCAAUUCACACUAUUAAGUCAACAUACAUAGCUAAAUGGAAGUUUACAAAUUGUAGACUUCUGAGGCCAGUUAAGAGCUCCGUGGAACUCCUGUGUGCUGGGGAAAAGAUUUCUUUGAAAGCACUAUAGAUGAACUUAUUAUCUUGGUUUAGGCUUUUGUUGCGGGUCAAGAUCAAGGAGAAACAAAUUAUUUCUAGCAAUGGGGUGUGGAAGCAACUUUACCUAUUUUCGCUUUCUGCUUAUCCUGAAAGCAGCAACUUCGAAUCUUUAAUAGUACGAAUGUAUAAGAUUCUGUAAGAAGAAUACUAAUAUGAUAGCACCGAAAAAGUUAAUUUUGAGAAGGCAAUUCACAAACAAAGCUGGUACCAUUAUAUGAAAGAUUUUCUAGAAAAAAUAUGACGAAAAACUGCAAAGGCAUAAUGGAGUAAAGGAGAAGAGAAAUUUUAUAUUUAGAGGAAAAGAAGAAGAUGCAAUAAAUGAAAAGCAUAAAAGUCCAGUUAAAGUGGGAAGGAAUUUUAAUAUACAUACAUCUCAGAUUACUCUCAACACAUAUAUCUGUGAACUCCAUCCAUAUGAAGACUUUGAUCUUCACUUCAUCAAUACAAGAACAUGUAUAACAUCCAUUGCAACUUUACUGACCUAUCUAACCUUAAAUGGGAAGGCAUUGAGUUUACCUGCUAUUUAUAACCAUUCAAAUGAUUAGGUGUACAUGCUAAUGGUAAGUAGAUCGACAUUUGCAAUGUGACAAUUGUCCAUGAUACUUCCAUCAUGAUUUACACUCUCAGAAUGGUCAAAUGAAAUAUUGUAAGACAUACUGGGUGUAUCACACACCAAAAACCAUCAAAAUUAUCCAAAAAAUAAUAAUUAAUUCCACAUAACUUCAUUGACUUUACAACACCAAAUAACUUAGAACAGUUAGAAAUUGAGUAAUUAAUUAAAAACCAAAAACGAACCUUUAAACCAAAAUGAACUUCACAUAGAAGGUCAAGGAAAUUACCUCGGAUGAAUACUCACACAGAAGAUUUGACUGUUGAAAUCACAUUGGUUUUAAUAAGCAAGUUUAAGCUGCUAAAAUGAAAGGAAACUACAUAAGGACCCAUGAACUCCAGAAGUAGAAUAAAAUACAAAAACUCAGUAUAACUUUACAGGGACAGAUUAGCAAAAGGCAUUAUUGUAUAGUAGUAAGUAUGGCAGAGAUGGUAUUACAAAUAAAUAUUUGAUAUGUAGGAACAUUAAAAAAAAUCUAUUUUGAUUUAACAUCAGAGUGUCAUAAAAUAAAAAUAGACAUUGCCUCGCCAAACAAAAUAAUAAUUGUUAUAAGAAAAAUCAAAUUAUGGUGGAUGUCUACUCUUCCUCCGUGAUCUUCUCAAAUGCUUAAUGACAUAUUCAAUGACAUAUUUU
rnacentral:lncRNA from 1 species